UGUGAAGGGUGUGUUGGGGUUGCAGUAGGCACACAACUGUCGGUACUGUGUAUGUGUAUAAGGUUUAUGAUUCUUGAGAAUUCACUUUUUCAAGUCCUUUUAAAGGUCGCCCCAUUGGAAACGCAAAUUUCUCACACUUCUAAGGAGCUGGAUCACCCACAUUCAUCAGGUGGAUGUGAAGCCUGAGAACCCAAAACAUCGGAGAAGUCAGAGAACAGACAUUUAAAAAUACGAGAAGACAGACGCCAAGAGGACGAAAGGCUUCUGCAAAAGGACACCGAUCGGAACAGAUGAGUUCUCAUAGAGGAAAUAGACACAUUAGAACGAUGUGAAAGAAGCCUUUCCCUUGUUCAUCAUUCUGCUCCAAACCCCAGCCCCUACUCACUGAAUGACCAUGGAAGUUCUGCCCUCAGACCUGUUGUGAUCUAACGUGACUUGAUAGGGGGCAUCCACUUGGAGAAGUAGUGGAGAAAGGACCGCUGUUAGAGCAUCCUUUCUUCCUUACCCAUAUGACACUCAAUGACACCUAUUUACAAAAGCGAAGAUCAUUCAAGAAGAGAAGAAAGGUUCGGAGUGACCACAAGAGCAGAAGACAGAGGUGAGACUCUUACAAGAUGGGCUGAAGAACGAGCUCUAAGAGCAGAGCACACGAGUGACCAUGCUCAGCCCUGCUGUGCUGGCUAUGGAUCUUACUCACCUUCAUCUUUUCCCGCCUGGGGGUUGCCUGCACAUAACUGGCUAGAAGAAGUGGGACAAGACAGAAGACUCUUAACUUCAUAGUCAUGACUACUAUUGAAGAUCGCUGAUCUGAGAGCCCGGGGUCUUUGCACCUCUCAGUUGUUUGAUACAAAGACCAGCCCACAUCUGUUGAUACCAAUCAAAGGGCAACAAGUACUUCUGUUCAGCCAACCCAGAGAAUUUAAGCCCUAUCCUUGCCUACACACACCCCCAUGAACACUUGGAACUCAACAGUGUGGUGAGGACCUGGAAUUCAUAUAAAUUCUGGCAGGAUUAUCAGAAAGAUGUGGCAAACCCUUAUAGAUCCUGGAAGCCUUAGCUGAUUUUCCUGAGUGGAUGUGAGUGUUGAGAUAAAGACAAACUUGCCAAAUAAUUGAUGUGGAUGUUCUAAAUACCAUUUCUAGGGCUUAAGAUAUAUAAUAUAGCUCACUGGUAUACUGUGUGGUUAGUAUGCUUAAAGUUCUGAGUUUAGUGCAUAAAAACAACAAAAACAACCAAUAAUAUACUUUACCUAAUGGCUUAAAAAAAGAAACAUUUAUUUGUUAUACUGCUAUACUGAAAAGAUUUGGGCUGUAACAAAUGUUGGCUAUUAUUUCAGUUAAAAAAAACUAAAGGAUAGAAGUUAGAGAAAUGGCUGUGUUAACAGCACCUGCUGGUCUUGCAAGGGAGUUGAGUUUGGUUUCCAGCACCUAUGUCUGGUGGCUCACAACUACCAGCAACUCCAGCUUCAGGGGAUCUCAAGCCUUCUUCUAGCCUAUGAGGGUACCCACAUACACAUACUCAUAUGAACAAAUGCACACACACACAUAAAUAAAAUAAAAUCUUAAAAAAUAAAUGUAAAAAAUCUAUAGGAUAGACCUACCUAGGUUCUGCUCAAGAGAACUGGAUGGUAGGGGGAGAGGGGCAAGAAUUGAAAACAAACCAUAACACAUCGAUAUGCUCAUUAUAGAAAUGCUCUCAACGAUUUAUAAAUCAGUAUUUUUUAGAAAAUCUGAUCAAGAGAGAAAUGGGCACAACCCAUGAAACCCAGUGGCAUCUGUGGUAGCAUACAAUGUUCUCCCUCAACGAUAAUCAAACAGUUACAAACAGGAAGAGAUACAUCUGUGUUUAUCAGAUUGGCAUAAGUUAAAAGGAAUGGUGGGAACCAGCCUGGGUGCAGCCUGGCAUUGGGUGCUCCUGUAAACUAGAUGGGUGGUGGGGAAAUCAGAGCACUGUCAACUUUUUGGGUGGCUACUCUGAAUGUAGUACUUUCUACUUUUUGAACUUAUUGAUUUUGGUGCUUGUUUUUUAAAAUUAUCAUAUAAAGUAAUGGGUUUCAGGAUGA